CCUACGGGAGGCAGCAGUCGAGAAUCUUUCACAAUGGGGGAAACCCUGAUGGUGCGACGCCGCGUGGGGGAAUGAAGUUUUCCGGUUUUAAACCCCUUGUGUUGUGGGAGCAAAUUACAAUGAUAGUACCACAAGACGCAGACACUGCUAACUCUGUGCCCGCCGCCGCGGUAAUACGGAGGGCCCAAGCGUUGUUCGCAUGUACUGGGCGUAACGCGUGCGUCGGCGGUUUGGUAGGUCGGGUGUGAAAGCCCCGGGCUGAACCCGGGGACGGCACAUGUUACUGCGAGACUAGAGUGCGGGAGGGGGAGGCGGAAUUCCAGGUGUAGCAGUGAAAUGCGUAGAUAUCGGGAGGAACACCCGUGGCGAAGGCGGCUUCCUGGACAGCAACUGACGCUGAGGCACGAAAGCGAGGGGAGCAAACAGGAUUAGAUACCCUAGUAGUC
rnacentral:rRNA from 1 species